rnacentral:sRNA from 1 species
GACCGCUCUCUCACGCUGCCCCUACUUACUCUAUAAAACGUGUGCCGCAAGUCAUUUAUUUGACUAGACAAAAGAAAUAGAGAGUAAUUACAUUAACAUUCAAACUUCCAAUAUGAAUAAAAGUGGACGGUCAGCAAUAGCUCGCAGUAAAAGUAUUGACCAACUACUGGACGAAGACCGAGAGAAAAGAGAACGAGAAAUCCAAAUUCUAAUAUUAGGGGCCCCUGCAACAGGUAAAAGUACCUUCAUCAAACAGUUCAGACUUCACUAUGGCGAUAGAUUUCCUCAGAGUGAACGGCGGACUUUCCACGACCAGAUCCAUCAAAAUGUUGCAUUUUCUUUGGUCCAUUUGAUGGAUCAUAUGGAGCGUCUGGGACUCAAG